rnacentral:rRNA from 1 species
GACGAACGCUGGCGGCGUGCUUAACACAUGCGAGUCGAACGGAAAGGCCCUGCUUUUGUGGGGUGCUCGAGUGGCGAACGGGUGAGUAACACGUGUGUAACCUGCCCCUGUCUUUGGGAUAACUUCAGGAAACUGGGGCUCAUACCGGAUAGGAUCUCCUGAUGCACGGGGGGGGUUGGAGAGUUUCGGCGGUGGGGGAUAGAAUAGCAGGUUAUCCGCUUGUUAGUGGGGUAGUGGAUUACCAAGGCUGUGACGGGUAGCCGGCCUGAGAGCGUGACCGGCCACAUUGGGACUGCGAUACGGCGCAGACUCCUACGGGAGGCAGCAGUCGGGAAUAUUGCACAAUGGGCGGGAGCCUGAUGCAGCAACGCCGCGUGCGGGAUGACGGCCUUCGGGUUGUGAACCGCUUUCGCCUGUGACGAAGCGUGAGUGACGGUAAUGGGUAAAGAAGCACCGGCUAACUACGUG